AUUGAACGCUGGCGGCAGGCCUAACACAUGCAAGUCGAGCGGUAACAGGUCCAGCUUGCUGGAUGCUGACGAGCGGCGGACGGGUGAGUAAUGCAUAGGAAUCUGCCCGAUAGUGGGGGAUAACCUGGGGAAACCCAGGCUAAUACCGCAUACGUCCUACGGGAGAAAGGGGGCUCCGGCUCCCGCUAUGGGAUGAGCCUAUGUCGGAUUAGCUAGUUGGUGAGGUAACGGCUCACCAAGGCCACGAUCCGUAGCUGGUCUGAGAGGAUGAUCAGCCACAUCGGGACUGAGACACGGCCCGAACUCCUACGGGAGGCAGCAGUGGGGAAUAUUGGACAAUGGGGGAAACCCUGAUCCAGCCAUGCCGCGUGUGUGAAGAAGGCCCUCGGGUUGUAAAGCACUUUCAGCGAGGAAGAACGCCUAACGGUUAAUACCCGCUAGGAAAGACAUCACUCGCAGAAGAAGCACCGCUAACU
rnacentral:rRNA from 1 species